GCUAUGGUGGCCUAGUAGUUAGAGCAUCCGCCUCAGAUGCGAAUGGUCGUGGGUUCGAUCCUCGGUAGAGCCAUGCCA